rnacentral:rRNA from 1 species
GACGAACGCUGGCGGCGUGCCUAAUACAUGCAAGUCGAGCGAAUCGAAGGGAGCUUGCUCCCUGAGAUUAGCGGCGGACGGGUGAGUAACACGUGGGUAACCUGCCUGUAAGACUGGGAUAACUUCGGGAAACCGGAGCUAAUACCGGAUACUUUCUUUUCUCGCAUGAGGGAAGAUGGAAAGAUGGUUCUGCUAUCACUUACAGAUGGACCCGCGGCGCAUGAGCUAGUUGGUGAGGUAACGGCUCACCAAGGCAACGAUGCGUAGCCGACCUGAGAGGGGGAUCGGCCACAAUGGGACUGGGACACGGCCCAGACUCCUACGGGAGGCAGCAGUAGGGAAUCUUCCGCAAUGGACGAAAGUCUGACGGAGCAACGCCGCGUGAGCGAAGAAGGCCUUCGGGUCGUAAAGCUCUGUUGUUAGGGAAGAACAAGUACGAGAGUUACUGCUCGUACCUUGACGGUACCUAACCAGAAAGCCACGGCUAACUACGUGCCAGCCGCCGCCGUAACAC